ACGGAGGAUGCGAGCGUUAUCCGGAUUUAUUGGGUUUAAAGGGUGCGUAGGUGGUAAAUUAAGUCAGCGGUGAAAGUUUGUGGCUCAACCAUAAAAUUGCCGUUGAAACUGUUUUACUUGAGUGUGUUUGAGGUAGGCGGAAUGCGUGGUGUAGCGGUGAAAUGCAUAGAUAUCACGCAGAACUCCAAUUGCGAAGGCAGCUUACUAAACCAUAACUGACACUGAAGCACGAAAGCGUGGGGAUCAAACAG
rnacentral:rRNA from 1 species